GACGAACGCUGGCGGCGUGCCUAACACAUGCAAGUCGAGCGGGGGGAGUUCUUCGGAACGAACCUAGCGGCGGACGGGUGAGUAACACGUGGGCAACCUGCCUUGAGGAGGGGGAUAACAGGAGGAAAGUCCUGCUAAUACCGCAUACCCCGGUGCUGUCGCAUGAUGGCAUCGGCAAAGGAGCAAUCCGCCUCAAGAUGGGCCCGCGGCGCAUUAGCUAGUUGGUGGGGUAACGGCCUACCAAGGCGACGAUGCGUAGCCGACCUGAGAGGGUGAUCGGCCACAUUGGAACUGAGACACGGUCCAGACUCCUACGGGAGGCAGCAGUGGGGAAUAUUGCACAAUGGGCGAAAGCCUGAUGCAGCAACGCCGCGUGAGCGAUGAAGGCCUUCGGGUUGUAAAGCUCUGUCUUCGCUGACGAAAUCUGACGGUAAGCGAGGAGAAAGCCACGGCUAACUACGUG
rnacentral:rRNA from 1 species